rnacentral:rRNA from 1 species
UGUGUGUUGUUGGGUAGGGGAGCGUUCUGUAAGCCUGUGAAGGUGUGUCGUGAGGCAUGCUGGAGGUAUCAGAAGUGCGAAUGCUGACAUAAGUAACGAUAAAGCGGGUGAAAAGCCCGCUCGCCGGAAGACCAAGGGUUCCUGUCCAACGUUAAUCGGGGCAGGGUGAGUCGACCCCUAAGGCGAGGCCGAAAGGCGUAGUCGAUGGGAAACGGGUUAAUAUUCCCGUACUUGGUGUUACUGCGAAGGGGGGACGGAGAAGGCUAUGUUGGCCGGGCGACGGUUGUCCCGGUUUAAGCGUGUAGGUGUGUGUUCCAGGUAAAUCCGGUUCACUUUAACACUGAGGCGUGACGACGAGGCACUACGGUGCUGAAGCAACAAAUGCCCUGCUUCCAGGAAAAGCCUCUAAGCAUCAGGUAACAUCAAAUCGUACCCCAAACCGACACAGGUGGUCAGGUAGAGAAUACCAAGGCGCUUGAGAGAACUCGGGUGAAGGAACUAGGCAAAAUGGUGCCGUAACUUCGGGAGAAGGCACGCUGACACGUAGGUGAAGUGAUUUACUCAUGGAGCUGAAGUCAGUCGAAGAUACCAGCUGGCUGCAACUGUUUAUUAAAAACACAGCACUGUGCAAACACGAAAGUGGACGUAUACGGUGUGACGCCUGCCCGGUGCCGGAAGGUUAAUUGAUGGGGUCAGCGCAAGCGAAGCUCCUGAUCGAAGCCCCGGUAAACGGCGGCCGUAACUAUAACGGUCCUAAGGUAGCGAAAUUCCUUGUCGGGUAAGUUCCGACCUGCACGAAUGGCGUAAUGAUGGCCAGGCUGUCUCCACCCGAGACUCAGUGAAAUUGAACUCGCUGUGAAGAUGCAGUGUACCCGCGGCAAGACGGAAAGACCCCGUGAACCUUUACUAUAGCUUGACACUGAACAUUGAGCCUUGAUGUGUAGGAUAGGUGGGAGGCUUUGAAGUGUGGACGCCAGUCUGCAUGGAGCCGACCUUGAAAUACCACCCUUUAAUGUUUGAUGUUCUAACGUGGACCCGUUACCCGGGUUGCGGACAGUGUCUGGUGGGUAGUUUGACUGGGGCGGUCUCCUCCUAAAGAGUAACGGAGGAGCACGAAGGUUGGCUAAUCCUGGUCGGACAUCAGGAGGUUAGUGCAAUGGCAUAAGCCAGCUUGACUGCGAGCGUGACGGCGCGAGCAGGUGCGAAAGCAGGUCAUAGUGAUCCGGUGGUUCUGAAUGGAAGGGCCAUCGCUCAACGGAUAAAAGGUACUCCGGGGAUAACAGGCUGAUACCGCCCAAGAGUUCAUAUCGACGGCGGUGUUUGGCACCUCGAUGUCGGCUCAUCACAUCCUGGGGCUGAAGUAGGUCCCAAGGGUAUGGCUGUUCGCCAUUUAAAGUGGUACGCGAGCUGGGUUUAGAACGUCGUGAGACAGUUCGGUCCCUAUCUGCCGUGGGCGCUGGAGAACUGAGGGGGGCUGCUCCUAGUACGAGAGGACCGGAGUGGACGCAUCACUGGUGUUCGGGUUGUCAUGCCAAUGGCACUGCCCGGUAGCUAAAUGCGGAAGAGAUAAGUGCUGAAAGCAUCUAAGCACGAAACUUGCCCCGAG